CGUAGCGCAGCCUGGUAGCGUACUUGCAUGGGGUGCAAGGGGUCGGAGGUUCGAAUCCUCUCGCCCCGACCA
rnacentral:tRNA from 1 species